rnacentral:rRNA from 1 species
GACGAACGCUGGCGGCGUGCUUAACCCAUGCAAGUCGAACGAAGUGGCGAACGGGUGAGUAACGCGUAAUCAACCUGCCCUUCAGGGGGGGACAACAGUUGAAAACGACUGCUAAUACCGCAUACUGAAGGAGGGGAUUGCGUCUGAUUAGCUAGUUGGAGGGGUAACGGCCCACAAAGGCGAUGAUCAGUAGCCGGGCUGAGAGGAUGAACGGCCACAUUGGGACUGAGACACGGCCCAGACUCCUACGGGAGGCAGCAGUGGGGAAUCUUCCGCAAUGGACGAAAGUCUGACGGAGCAACGCCGCGGGAGUGAUGACGGCCUGCGGGUUGUAAAGCGCUGUUAAUCGGGACGCGGUACCGGAAUAGAAAGCCACGGCUAACUACGUGCCAGCAGCCGCGGUAAUUC